AUUGAACGCUGGCGGCAGGCCUAACACAUGCAAGUCGAACGGUAACAGGAAGAAGCUUGCUUCUUUGCUGACGAGCGGCGGACGGGUGAGUAAUGUCUGGGAAACUGCCUGAUGGAGGGGGAUAACUACUGGAAACGGUAGCUAAUACCGCAUAACGUCGCAAGACCAAAGAGGGGGACCUUCGGGCCUCUUGCCAUCGGAUGUGCCCAGAUGGGAUUAGCUAGUAGGUGGGGUAACGGCUCACCUAGGCGACGAUCCCUAGCUGGUCUGAGAGGAUGACCAGCCACACUGGAACUGAGACACGGUCCAGACUCCUACGGGAGGCAGCAGUGGGGAAUAUUGCACAAUGGGCGCAAGCCUGAUGCAGCCAUGCCGCGUGUAUGAAGAAGGCCUUCGGGUUGUAAAGUACUUUCAGCGGGGAGGAAGGGAGUAAAGUUAAUACCUUGGCUCAUUGACGUUACCCGCAGAAGAAGCACCGGCUAACUCCGUG
rnacentral:rRNA from 1 species